UGUGACGUUCUGUAUCGAGGCUUCGAAGCGUGUGUCGAGUAAUUGAGGGGACGUUUCCGCGAAGCGCGUAUCGAGGCUUGCUUCAUUUAUGGGAGGAGCUGAAAAUGAUGACGUCCGAAGCCUCGCUGCCCGGCUGUACCACGUGACUGGUUCAUGAAGCGGUUCAAACUUUGCCGCGAGAUAUGACAGCGAUAUAAACCCCUCAGACUUCAUUCAAAAAUGUAGGUGUUUGAUGGAGAGUUGCGGUUAGUGAGAGUUAGAGACAGUUUGGAGAGAGUUUGGAGGUUUAUGAGAGUGAGGAGAGAAAGUCAGGAGAGAAUGGAGCCAGCUAAGAAGAGGAGGAUGUCCUCCCCUGUGUGGGAACAUUUUGAUCUUAUUCCUCCCAACAAGUUAUGUAAAUUUCUACAGAAGAUGUAUUUUCAUAAUACUGAUGGUGCAAUAAAACAUAUGUUAAGCUGUCUUUACUUUUGUACAAGGUGAAGUGUUUGCUAUGUGCCAGGGAGCUGGGAUAUAACAACAACACCUCAUCCAUGCUUAGACACUACAGAGCUUUGCAUGAGAAUAGGGGGAACACCGAUUGUGGAGCAAGACCAGGAGAACAAUCUCAAAUAGAUGAAGACCUGGUUAGCAUGGUGAUUGAGGACUUCCAGCCAUUUAGCAUUGUGGAGGACAAAGGAUUUAAAAGAUUUGUUAAAUCAUUAAAUCCUAGCUAUGUUCUCCCCACUAAAAAGGUCAUAAAAGCAGUGAAAA